UACGUAGGGGGCAAGCGUUGUCCGGAAUCAUUGGGCGUAAAGAGCGCGUAGGCGGCCCUGUAAGGCCGCUGUGAAAGUCAAGGGCUCAACCCUUGAAUGCCGGUGGAUACUGCAGGGCUAGAGUCCGGAAGAGGCGAGUGGAAUUCCUGGUGUAGCGGUGAAAUGCGCAGAUAUCAGGAGGAACACCGAUGGCGAAGGCAGCUCGCUGGGACGGUACUGACGCUGAGGCGCGUAAGCGUGGGGAGCAAACCGG
rnacentral:rRNA from 1 species